rnacentral:rRNA from 1 species
GAUGAACGCUGGCGGCGUGCCUAAUACAUGCAAGUCGAGCGAACAGACGAGGAGCUUGCUCCUUUGACGUUAGCGGCGGACGGGUGAGUAACACGUAGGUAACCUACCUAUAAGACUGGGAUAACUUCGGGAAACCGGAGCUAAUACCGGAUAAUAUUUCGAACCGCAUGGUUCGAUAGUGAAAGAUGGCUUUGCUAUCACUUAUAGAUGGACCUGCGCCGUAUUAGCUAGUUGGUAAGGUAACGGCUUACCAAGGCAACGAUACGUAGCCGACCUGAGAGGGUGAUCGGCCACACUGGAACUGAGACACGGUCCAGACUCCUACGGGAGGCAGCAGUAGGGAAUCUUCCGCAAUGGGCGAAAGCCUGACGGAGCAACGCCGCGUGAGUGAUGAAGGUCUUCGGAUCGUAAAACUCUGUUAUUAGGGAAGAACAAACGUGUAAGUAACUGUGCACGUCUUGACGGUACCUAAUCAGAAAGCCACGGCGAACUACG